AGAUCCAAACAAAUCGAAAGUUAGUUCAGUGACUGGAGCCAUCCGUCUCCGCCCAGCGCUGCGCCCGCCGGAGACAAGGCGUCCACUUCCGUUCGCACCCCCCACCCCCAGGCGGCACCCAGCUCCUCCCGCACCCGCCCCACUCAGGUGAUUCAUUGCGUCCUCGUGCUUUCCCAUCUUCUCCUGUGCUUGGAUUGGAUCUGUCUGGGAAGAUUCAGCUCCUGGAUUCUUUCAUCUGUUCUUGGUUGUAGCCUCGUUGUUCUUAUGGAUGUUGCAGGCAGAAGAAGAGAUUUUUGUUCUGUUGUGCAAAUGCGUUUUGGUCUGCCUACUGUUAAUGUUUCAAUGUUGAUCGUAAGAGGAAACCUUGCAAAUAAUCAUCGAUCCAUGACAGAUGAUGCAUGAGCCUCUUCAUGUCUUAGUGCCACAGAUGGCAGAUGGCAAUGAGAAGGACUUUGAUGAAGAAUUCUCUGGUUCUGCAAAUGUCACCACUAGCAACGUGCAGGAUAUCUCAUUGGAGGGUGUCACUUCUAGCAAAUGGGGCAAAUUGCCUGAUGAUAUUUUUUUUUGAACAUCUCCCACCUGGGCUUGAUAAGAUGUGAUUGUCAAUGCAGGCUUGAUAAGGGAAAAGUAAAAGCUACAAGACAGUCAAAGUGUGGUGUAUGUGGUGAGUAUGGCCACAGAACAGGAAGUGCAAAGUGUCGAUACACAGGCGCGAAGACAAGGAAGAGGUGCAGGAAAGUAAAUGCAAAGGUUGGAGCAAAACCUAAAAUCUAUGUUGAUGACGAUGAUCAACGCGGGGAGUCUUCUGUACCAAAACGACGUAGAUGACCUAUUUUUGUAGAGCAAGUUGAAAAUGCAAGCACGACACCAGAUGACUUGCAACUACAUGAGGGAACUAAUGAGUCCCAAGAAUGGGCUCAAUUUGCUUCAUCUUCUGGAAAGAAGCUAACACCUAGGAGGAAACCGAUUGUCCAAGUUGAACAUGAUACUAAGUCAGGUGAAAGACGACCGUCGGAUGGUGAUACCUUUGAGGAGUUACAUGCAAGAACUGCAAGUGGUGGACAAAAUUGUUAAUGAUUCUGAAGGGAUGCAUCUUGUUUACAUAUUUGUGUUGUCAAUAUUUGGAUUGUUUCAUUUAUUUGGUGAUAUUUGUAAUUACAGUUCUUUCAGUGCUGUAAGGAUGCUUUUGAAAUAAAUUGAGUUCUCAUUGAAGUUACUGUAAGGAUGAUUUGCGAAAUAAAUUGAGUUAUCAUUGAAGUUAAUGUAAGGAUACUUUUUGAAAUAAA